UACGGGGGGAGCAAGCGUUGUUCGGAUUUACUGGGCGUAAAGGGCGGGUAGGCGGCCACCUCAAGUCAGUUGUGAAAUCUCUGGGCUUAACCCAGAAAGGUCAACUGAUACUGCGGGGCUAGAGUGCAGAAGGGGCAACUGGAAUUCUCGGUGUAGCGGUGAAAUGCGUAGAUAUCUGGAGGAACACCGGUGGCGAAGGCGGCAUCCUGGACCGAGAUUGACGCUGAUGCGCGAAAGCCAGGGGAGCAAACGGG
rnacentral:rRNA from 1 species